rnacentral:rRNA from 16 species
GGAACUGAGACACGGUCCAGACACCUACGGGUGGCAGCAGUCGAGAAUCAUUCACAAUGGGGGAAACCCUGAUGGUGCGACGCCGCGUGGGGGAUGAAUGGCUUCGGCCCGUAAACCCCUGUCAUUUGUGAACAAACCUUUUGGAGUAAUAUUUCAAAAGCUGAUAGUAGCAAAAGAGGAAGGGACGGCUAACUCUGUGCCAGCAGCCGCGGUAAUACAGAGGGUGCGAGCGUUAAUCGGAAUUACUGGGCGUAAAGCGUACGCAGGCG